UUACGACGUUGGCUUAAUGGUA
rnacentral:siRNA from 1 species